rnacentral:rRNA from 1 species
AUGAUCAUUCUCCUGCCAAAGAAGGAUGGCGCAACAAAACUGUCUGAUUUCCGCCCAAUUAGUCUCAUCCACUCGGUGGCAAAACUGGUUGCAAAAGUGCUUUCAAUCAGACUCGGAGGUGUGCUUGAUCAGCUCAUUUCGCCGGCCCAGAGUGCUUUCCAAAAGAAGAAGGGCAUCCACGACAGUUUUCUUUACGUCCAGAGCGCGCUGCGACAGUUCAAGAGGAAAAGAUCACCGAUGCUCCUACUGAAGAUCGACAUCGCCAAGGCUUUCGACACGGUGUCAUGGGAGUACAUCCUCGAGCUGCUGCAACACAUGAACUUCCCGGCGCGCUGGAGAGACUGGAUCGCGCUACUCCUCUCCACCGCGUCUUCCGCCUGCCUGCUAAACGGAGAUCCGGGCCCUGCGAUUCUUCAUCACCGAGGGCUGCGGCAAGGCGACCCGCUCUCGCCGAUCCUCUUCAUCCUGGCGAUUGACCCCCUCCACCGACUGCUA